AACAUGAGGAACUUCGACGGAGAGAGUGCCUUGGUAAAUAGAUCGGCCAACUGAUCAGAGGAAGGAAUAUACUGAACACGCAAUUUUCGAUCAAGUACUCGAUCUCUCAGAUAGUGUAUAUCAAGCUCGAUGUGCUUUGUGCGAGCGUGAUAGACAGGAUUUGAAGCAAGAGCUAAGGCACUUAAAUUAUCACACCAGGCGAUCGGAGGAUUCUUCAAUCGAACGCCGAACUCACCUACGAGAGAUUGAAUCCAUGCCAGUUCAGUUGCAAGAUUUGCAAGGGCUCUGUACUCAGAUUCAGCGCUUGACCGAGCUACGACUUGCUGCUUCUUAGCUGACCAAGAGAUGAGAGAGUCACCGAGGAAUACACAGUACCCGCUUAUUGAUCUACGAUCAUCCGGGCAUACAGCCCAAUCAGCGUCGGUGAAACCUUGCAAGGUUCUUUGAGAAUAAUUGGAUCUGUACUGACAACACCAACAUAGGGCUCCUUGGGUUUGUAAAUACCCAUUCUGCUUCUGGUUACCAUCGGAUGUCGCACUGGAACUAGAGCUGUAUCAUUUGAAGAAGGAGAGGUGGAUGGUGAGGAGAAGUCGGAUGAUGAACUUCCUUCUACUGCUGUAUGUCUGAUUGGUGAUGGUUGAUGAUUGUUUGAGUCUGACAUGGAUGGGUUUGAAGACUGAGUUGGAAGCUGGCUCUGGCGUCUUGAAUCCUCAGCAACAAAUUGUGGUUGAGUAGAAGUUGAUAGUGAUGGCAGUGUUGAAUUCUGAGGAUCACUAUGUUGAUUUCCUGAAUCUGAAAUUUGACAUUCAACUGGAUAGGAGGAGACAAUUGAUUUGAAGAAUUCCCUCGGAUGCACCAUCUCUUCAGGGUCUAAGACAUGGAUAACAAGCAGACCCAAAUAUCUUCAGAGAUUCAUAAUCAGGAAGUUUGCAGAAUAAUCUCAGAUAAGCUCUACCAUUUUGUGGUGAAGUGUGAGGACAUGAGUGCCUAAAGUGAAUUCCAGAUUCUUGCAACAAUCUUAAAGCCAUCACCAACAGUAAUAUUCAUCUUACCAGAGGGAGUAGCAGAAUCAUCAAGUUUGGCUAGAUCCUUAGUGACAUGACUUGUUGCUCCACUAUCCAUGUACCAGGAAUCAUCAUUAAUAGUCUCUGGAGUUGCCCAAUAAGCAUUUUCGAAAUCAGAAUAGGAACUGGCACCUUUGUUGACUUCAGUUUUCUUGGUUCUAGGUUUGACAAAACUUCUAUCAUAGCGAUGAAAGCAAGUCUCCACUGUGUGACCCACUUUAUCACAUAGCUGGCAUCUGGGAGGAACAUCAUCAUUGUUGUAGUUGAAGCGUCCACGGCCUCUGUUGCUUCUGCCUCUGCUUCUU